GAUUGGGGCUAUCAUAACCGG
rnacentral:siRNA from 1 species